rnacentral:rRNA from 1 species
AUUGAACGCUGGCGGCAUGCUUUACACAUGCAAGUCGAACGGUAACAGGCCGCAAGGUGCUGACGAGUGGCGAACGGGUGAGUAAUGCAUCGGAACGUGCCCAGUCGUUGGAGAUAACGCAGCGAAAGCUGCGCUAAUACCGCAUACGAUCUAUGGAUGAAAGCGGGGGACCGUAAGGCCUCGCGCGAUUGGAGCGGCCGAUGUCAGAUGAGGUAGUUGGUGGGGUAAAGGCUCACCAAGCCAACGAUCUGUAGCUGGUCUGAGAGGACGACCAGCCACACUGGGACUGAGACACGGGCCAAACUCCUACGGGAGGCAGCAGUGGGGAAUUUUGGGCAAGGGGCGCAAGCCUGAUCCAGCAAUGCCGCGUGCAGGAAGAAGGCCUUCGGGUUGUAAACUGCUUUUGUACGGAACGAAACGGUCCUGGUUAAUACCCGGGGCUAAUGACGGUACCGUAAGAAUAAGCACCGGCUAACUACGUGCCAGCAGCCGCCGUAAAAC